AUGCCUCUUGGAUUCAGUGUCACCAAGGAAAUUGCUGAUCUGCCAAAGAACUCUCCGAGCAAAGCUGUGAAGUGGAGAAAGGGUAACAAAAGGCCGUGGAGAAGGACACUGAAAGGUCAUCCAGAAGACCUGGAUCCCGAAAUGCAAACAUCGGCGGUCUCCUUAAAUCCACGCAUCCAGGAAGGUGUUCAUAACCUCUUCUCAAGUGGCCAGAGCCAGGAUCAUACAGCAUAAGGAUGAAGCUGCCCUCUGAGCAUGCCCAUAUACUUUUCUUUCUUGGCUAUACUAGGGAUCCAUGCUAGCCCAAAUGCAAAUCUGUCUUUCAGGAGCCAUUCCACCUGCCACAAGUCAUUUUUUUCCAGGUCUAAAGCAGAGGUGGACUCUCUGGGUUCAUUUCCACCUUUGGAUAAAGGACAGUAGUGUAGACCCCUAGUGCUGCUGAGUAAGUAAAUGAAAUGAUGAAUGUAAAUUCUUUAGUGCCCCAUACAUACUUGGUAUUCCAUUUUGAAUCAUUAUUGUUGAGGGGAGUCCCAUGAAACCCCUCUAUAGAGGGUUUUUCCGAAAUUACUUACUCGUGGCAGGGUUGUGAAAAGUAAGUGCAGGUCAGAGAACAACUUGCAGGUCUCAGGACUUGAACCCCGGUUAUCAGGUUGUCACUGAACCAUCUUGAUGGCCCUGUCUAUAGGAUUUUUGAGCUUCUAUUUAGUACAGAGCCUCUAGCCUCCCUCCAACAGGGAAAUACAAAGCCACGCUGGACAGGUUGUCUGAGAGACGACAUGGUAGCAUUCCAGGCCUGCACUGCAUAUGGGUCCUGCCUGUUCCCCAGUGUGGGUGAUGCAGGUCCUAGGAUCCAUGAAAAUAUGACAGCUGAGCACCCCAGAGCACUUUGUCUGCCAGACCCAAGUCCAGAGCUUGGUCCCUAGACUCACUCACCUUAUCUGGAAUGAGUAUGUGGUGGCCAAGCAACACCACCUGACCUCAUCAACCUAGCAGUCCAGAGCUCACUGUGGUGGCAGAGGAAGGUCAGAAGGAAAAGAAGUUCAAAAUCCAGUUCUGCAGGGGCUGCAGAGAUGACUCAGCAGUUAAGAGCACUGGCUGCUCUUCCAAAAGACCUGGGUCAGGUUCCCAGCACCUUCAUGAUGGUUCACAAUCAUC
rnacentral:lncRNA from 1 species